GUACUACUCCCUCCGUCCGGAAAUACUUGUCGUCAAAAUGGAUAAAAUAGGAUGUAUCUAGACAUAUUUUAGUUCUAGAUACAUUCAUUUUUAUCCAUUUUGAUGACAAGUAUUUUCGGACGGAGGGAGUACAAU
rfam:Triticum aestivum genome assembly, contig: Triticum_aestivum_CS42_TGACv1_scaffold_035729_1BL